GGCGUUAACAGUGGUAACGAAA
rnacentral:snRNA from 1 species